UCUCUCUCUGUGUCUUUCUCGCUCUCUGUGUGUCCCUGUCUCGCUCACUCUCUCGCUCGCUCCCUGUGUGUCCCUGUCUCUCUCUGUGUAGGAGGACAGGAUGCGUCGGGGAGAUGACCUGAGACUCCAGAUGGCACUCGAGGAGAGUCGUAAAGGAAAAGCCCUCGGUGACACUGGCUCUGGAAACUAGCCAAGAAGAAGAGAGAGGUACAGACAGAGAAGAGAGAGCAGGCCCAGUCCUCUCUGUUGGAUCUGAUGGAUGUUCCUGGGGGGGAUUCGGCCGACCCCUGGGGGGCGAGAGGAGGAGGAGGAGGAGGAGGAGCUGCUGCCGCACCAGACCCCUGGCAGGCCUACGGUGCAGCCCCAAAGCCAGUGGCUCCAGUAGACCCCUGGGGGCCCCCGUCCUCCUCUGUUUCCCCCAUGAAGAGCAGUGAUCCCUGGGGAACCAACCCUGCUCCUGACCCU